rnacentral:rRNA from 1 species
UACGAAGGGGGCUAGCGUUGCUCGGAAUCACUGGGCGUAAAGGGUGCGUAGGCGGGUCUUUAAGUCAGAGGUGAAAUCCUGGAGCUCAACUCCAGAACUGCCUUUGAUACUGAGGAUCUUGAGUUCGGGAGAGGUGAGUGGAACUGCGAGUGUAGAGGUGAAAUUCGUAGAUAUUCGCAAGAACACCAGUGGCGAAGGCGGCUUACUGGUCCGGUUCUGACGCUGAGGUGCGAAAGCGUGGGGAGCAAACAGG